AUUGAACGCUGGCGGCAUGCUUUACACAUGCAAGUCGAACGGUAACAGGCCGCAAGGUGCUGACGAGUGGCGAACGGGUGAGUAAUGCAUCGGAACGUGCCCAGUCGUGGGGGAUAACGCAGCGAAAGCUGUGCUAAUACCGCAUACGAUCUGUGGAUGAAAGCGGGGGACCGUAAGGCCUCGCGCGAUUGGAGCGGCCGAUGUCAGAUUAGGUAGUUGGUGGGGUAAAGGCUCACCAAGCCGACGAUCUGUAGCUGGUCUGAGAGGACGACCAGCCACACUGGGACUGAGAAACGGCCCAGACUCCUACGGGAGGCAGCAGUGGGGAAUUUUGGACAAUGGGCGCAAGCCUGAUCCAGCAAUGCCGCGUGCAGGAAGAAGGCCUUCGGGUUGUAAACUGCUUUUGUACGGAGCGAAAAGGCUCCCUCUAAUACAAGGGGCUCAUGACGGUACCGUAAGAAUAAGCACCGGCUAACUACGUGCCAGCAGCCGCCGUAAUAC
rnacentral:rRNA from 1 species